CCUCAAAGCAAAUGGGCAAAAGAGAUGAAAAAGACCUUCUACAGAGCAAGUAUUCCUGAUGCUGAAUCCACAGAACCUGAUAUUUGUGUCUCAACUUUGUGCUGAUGGGAUGCCAGUCGUAUUUGGACUUGUCCCUUGCUGGUGAUAAUCAAAGAUUUGGUGAGAUGAUGGCAGGGCUCUCAUAAACUCUUCCUGAGGAAAAUGACAAAGGUCCACUCUUGGCUUGGCAGUUUCCUAUUCUGCUGUGUGUCCUUCAGCUGCGAGUCCAUUCUAUUUCUCUGGACCUGAUUUCUUCAACUGCCAGAAGGAAAGAGUGUUCCUAGUUGAAAAUUCAGCCCUAAAGAGAAGCUGGAGACUAUGCAACUCUUUUGAGAAAUCUGUUUCUCACCAAAUUAUUCAUUCACUUCUACAAAUUCAAAAGCUGGGAUAAGUUUCAAGGAAAAAAAAAAGAAGAAAUCUG